UUUUAGCGUCGCGACAGAACGAAUCCCUCGCUAGCCCUACCUCCUCUCCCGUCUCCAGUCGCAGCCGCCGCCGCCACCGCACCCCAAUCCAACCCCGCCGCCGGCGAUCUCCUCGCCCCCCUGUGCCGUCGCCCCCAACCUUCUAUUCCUCUCCCAAGGGAAGGGAAGGGAAGGCAAGACAAGGGAAGGGAGAGGGAGCGCCCAGAUCCACGGCGGCAUCAGCGCGCCGUCCUCCACCUGAUCCGCGUCCAUCCACGGAUGGGAGCUAAUCGGCGCAGGAAAUCCCCGUCCCCGCGUCCGAGCCCCGCCACCCUCCGCAACGGCUCGACCGCCCAUCGACGCGCUGCCCCCGCGGCGCCCGACCAGUUUGGCUCUCGCGGCUGGUGGACGCGCCCUUGCUGUUGCCGACGCCGGCUCGCUGUGCCGCACUGGCCCUCACAAGCGUCUUCUGUCAAUGAUGGACUUGAGAGGUCAAGGAGUUUCCAUUGGGACAUCGGGACAUGCUCCUCCAUCUCCUCCGGUGGACGACAUCCAACAUCGCCAGGUAGAUUACUGUUUUUGCAAAUUCCAGUUCUUGAUGUUUAAAACUGGAUGAUCUGCACCCAACCCCUCUAUUGUUCUAUUUCUGCUUAAAUCUGAUUUGGUUGUUCAGUUCAUGCACUUAUGGACUGAAGAAAAAAAUGGAAAUGAAGAAGAAAAGAAUAGCAAUAUUAUCAUAUGCGAGGUUUGCUUUUAACCUUGGUUCCUAACCAAUAUUUGCUUCAUAAUUCUGCCGAGAGAUUCACACUGUCAUUCAUAUUAUGAAUAUAGUUCAUAACCAGUAUUCUCUUUUAUCUAAUUAUAUGUACAGAAAGGAGUAAUCUGAAGUGAAUUCAUGCUAUGUUAACAGUCUAACAAACAUCUUGGAGGUGUGAAUGCUUUCUUGGGUCUGACAAGUAAUCAAUAAUUGAUGGUAUACUGGGAUUUUUCUCAUACUUCUAGCACUUCCUCAUUGACAAUAAAGCAAGUAGUAUCACAACAAAGGCUAUCCAGGUAUUUUUUUUCAACUAUAAUCCUUCCAGCUUUAGGGACUGCUCAAUUGGAUCUGCACAAUCCAACAAAAUAAAUGUGCAUAGUGUCUGCGACACUUUCAUUCGAUCAUCACGAAGGUAGUUGUAGGAGUAAAAAAGUAUGUCAUACUGUUUUUUCAGUUCAAGCCAAAAGGCUAGGACAGGUAAUACUUGUUUUUACAGUACUUGUGCAAAAAGUAUGUCAUACUGUUUGCUCUAGAUGAUUUUGAUGAAUUUUACAACCUUAUUUUCAGUUGUUUACCCCAAGAAAUGGUCUGCUUUCAUGGGGUUUAUUGAAUCCAGGAAAGAACUGUGAGUAGUAGCGAACCAGACAUGAAAAGUUUCAGACAACUACGAAAACUCCGGGUUUGGGGGAGAUUGUCAGCGAGCCACUGAUGAAAGUCCUUUUGCGAUGACAAUGCUAGAGAAGAUUUGAAAGAUCUUGGUUGGCGUGGGGCAACUUGUGUAUUCCUGGAUGGGGGCGCCGUCCGGUGGCAGUGGGGUGUGGCAGUUGCCGCAGCUGGGCACAACCGGGAGUCCACCUAUCCAGAACACCCAACUAUUUCAUCCGGUGAACUGCGAAGAGCUUCUGUGUGCGUCUCCGUUAUAUUUAACUACGACAGGCUUAUGUUAUCUUAUCACGAACUCAUUUUUCAGUUUGUGCCCAACGUGACUGCAUGUAAAUAUGUAAUACAGCAAUUUUGUUCUUCCUUUUUGUUGUUUGAUUGACUCAGUAUACCAUCUCAAAUGUCAUUCCCUUUAUAGCUAGCACAUCAUCUCCAAAGAAUUUAUUUAAGUUGAAAUCCAGUAAUUAUAUGUUGAUCGCAUAAGCAGGCUGAUGGUGUCUUGGUCGAAUUUUUUUAUUCCUUCUCUAUGGAACUAAAACUGUUCUUUCCUGAAUAUAUUGGAUCGCAAAGAACUAAACCUAUGUACAAUGUCUUUGGGCAUAUUCUGAAUUUGCAGAAUUAGCACAAAUCUGAAAGCAUAUAUGCAGCUCCCAGAUGUUGCAGGCUAGAGGAAGGGCAGGCACUCAUGCGAUACCAUGUAUCUGGUAGUGGUUUCGUUCCCCAGACGCUAUGCAUUUAUUGUCUGGUUUGUUCAUAUCUGUUAGCUCUAUGUUAACCUUCUUUUAGUUACUUCCCAUGAUUUUCUUUGUAAGAAACCCCAGAAAUAUAUAUAGGUGUAUUUUCCUGUAAAGAUGCUAAAUUUUGUUGGUCUUAUUUAUGGGAUAGCGAAACCAUUUUUGUGUGCACUUAAUUGUCAGGUUGGAUGCGCCGGGUGUGGGGACACUGCAUGACAUGUUUGAUUAUCAUGUCAGUGAAUUCUGGCGAGAAUGAACCAAGUGAGCUUUUGUAGCUGGUCUAUUCAAAAUGGAUGAACGGACCAGUUAGUGUACAUAUAAGUUUGCACUCUGUCUUCCUGCUCAUUCGUGCAAUGUGUUCAUGGGAGACUUUUUUAGGAAAACAUAAAAUAAUUUUUCUUUCUGUGCGUACUACUCCAGCUUUCAAGUGCCAGGCUUCAAUAAAUCUGAAAUUUCUA